rnacentral:misc_RNA from 1 species
CAGAGUUCAUGCCCUAACGGGUAGAUCUCCCACCCUUGAAUAUAUUACCUUUGUUGCUUUGGCGGGCCGCUCUGUCCACCGGCUUCGGCUGGUGAGUGCCCGCCAGAGGACCUAAAUUCUGAAUUACAGUGUCGUCUGAGUACUAUAUAAUAGUUA